AAUGUGAGAGGUAAAAACCACGAGUCGUCCAGACCAAUGAAAUAGCUCCACUAUAAUCAAAUGAGAUACAAGAGAGUCUCAAACAAAGCACAAAAAUGUGCAUAUAACCAGCCAAAACAUCAAAACACCAAAGCUCACAAAUUAGAAGCAAGAAGAUGAAAUAUACCCAAAAAAAACAGAGCUGCUAUCGAAGCCAAUUUCUCCCUCUGUAGACCUCCAAUUAAAAUCUUCACCAUCCAUAAUAAAGAACAAGAUGUGAAGAAUUUACAGUUCAAAUUUCACGUCGAUCCAACGGUGAAAGAAUGAGAAACUGCCAUUCCAAAAUUGCUGCUCUGUGUAAAAAUGGGAAACCUAAUUUCUCUCUUGCGAAGCCAAUUUCUCUCACUGCAAAUCUCCAAUCAACAUCUCCACCGACCAGAAUGAAGAACAAUAUGAUAGGAACAUGCAGUUUAAAUUUCAAGCCGAUCCAACGGUGAACAACUGAGCAACUGCCAUUUGAAAUUUACUGCUUUGGGCAAAACGGGAAUUCUAUUUUUCCCCUUCUCUCUCACUUGGUGACUACUCUCUCUCUCUCUCACUCAAUGACCCCCCAAAAUCUGAACUAGAGUUGUGGUACAAUGGGUGCAAGAGACACCCUCAAAAUGUUGGGCUUGGGCCUCACAAAGGAGAGAAAAACCCAACAAGAUCCAAAGUUCCA